GUCGGGAAUAACCCCCGGACAAGUCAGAACACCGGUCUUCUGGUUUUAUUCCCCACAUUCGGCAGUCCCCCUUUCUUCCUCUCGGUUUCCUUAGCUUUGAAAUGGGACUAAAGUGAGAGUGAAGUAAGAGAGUAGAGAUUAAAGUGUUUUGAAACCUGGCAAAUCAUUGAACAAUGAUUUGGCAAUGGAAGGCGUUAUAAUUUCUCCACUCUCACAUAAUUGGAAAAUGAAAGGUAAAAUAUAUCCUUCUAGUGCCUUUUGUAGUGUUGGUAACCUACUUUGAAGUCAGAAGAAGCUCUAAAGCAGCACAGUGUGGGAGCUUAUAUAGAGCAGUCCCCUCUUAUCCAUGGAUCUGCUUUCUGCAGUCUCAGGAGGGGUCAGCUGUGGUUUGGAAUCAGGUAAUCCUCCUUCUGAGGAAUCCUCCUCAGGUCAAUAGCAGCCACAACUGCGCCUGCGUCAUUUACCUCACUUCAUCUCAUCACAUAGGUAUUUUAUCAUCUCCCAUCAUCAAAGGAGGGUUGUCUCAACUGACAGAGCAGGGAAAUCCACAUGUAUAUUCACCUGCAUAUAUACACAUCUCACUCACACCCUCAAAAUCUACAGCCUGAAGGCAGAGCUGGAAAGCAGUGAGGAGCACUGGGUUGGCAAUCAGCUCCUGGAUUCAAGGCCUGGUUCUACUGCUCAUUGACAUUGACCUUGAGACGAAUUACUCAAAUUCUCCAAGUUUCACUUUCCUUCGGUGAAGAAUGUUAAUAUUAUUACUGCAACCUACUCCUAUUUUUCU